CCCACACCCCUGUGUCACGACAGGCCCCUCCCACAUCCCUGUGUCACACUGGGCCCCUCCCACACCCUUUUGUGACAACACGCCCCUCCCUCACUCAUGUGUCACACUGAGCCCCUCCCACACCCUUGUGUCACAACACGCCCCUCCCUCACUCAUGUGUCACUCUGAGCCCCUCCCCUCAUCGUGUCAUAUGGAUUCCCUCUCCCACUGUGUCAUAUAGAGCCCUUCCCUCACUCAUGUGUCACACUGAGUCCCUCCCAGACCCUGUGUCACAACACGCCCCUCCCUCACUCGUGUGUCACACAGAGCCCCUCCCCUCAUCAUGUGUCAUAUGGAUUCCCUCUCCCACUGUGUCAUAUAGAGCCCCUCCCUCACUCAUUUGUCACACUGAGUCCCUCCCACACCCCUGUGUCACAACACGCCCCUCCCACACCCUUGUGUCACAACAUGCCUCUCCCACACCCCUGUGUCACAACACACCCCUCCCACACCCUUGUGUCACAACAUGCCUCUCCCACACCCCUGUGCCACAACAUGCCCCUCCCUCACUCAAGUGACACAGUGAGCCCCUCCCCUAAUCAUGUAUCAUAUGGAUUCCCUCUCCCACUAAUGUGUCAUAUAGAGCCCCUCCCUCACUCAUUUGUCACACUGAGUCCCUCCCACACCCCUGUGUCACAACACGCCUCUCCCACACCCCUGUGUCACAACACACCGCUCACACACCCUUGUGUCACAACACGCCCCUCCCUCCCUCGUCACACUGAGUCCCUCCCACACGCUUGUGUCACAACAUGCCCCUCCCACACCCUUGUGUCACAACAUGCCCCUCCCUCACUCGUGUGUCACACAGAACCCCUCCCACACCCCUGUGUCACAACACGCCCCUCCCUCACUCAUGUGUCACACUGAGUCCCUCCCUAACCCUUGUGUCACAACAUGCCUCUCUGUCACUCAUUUGUCACACUAGCCCCUCCCACACCCUUGUGUCACAACACGCCUCUCCGUCACUCAUUUGUCACACUGAACCCCUCCCACACCCUUGUGUCACAACACGCCCCUCCCUCACUCAUGUGUCACACUGAGUCCCGCCCACACCCUUGUGUCACAACACGCCCCUCCCUCACUCAUGUGUCACUGAGUCCCGCCCACACCCUUGUGUCUCAACACGCCCCUCCCUCACUCAUGUGUCACACUGAUCCCUCCCACACCCUUGUGUCACAACACGCCCCUCCCUCACUCAUGUGUCACACUGAACCCCUCCCACACCCCUGUGUCACAACACGCCCCUCCCGCACUCAUGUGUCACACUGAGCCCCUCCCACACCCGUGUCACAACACGCCCCUCCUGCACUCAUGUAUCACACUGAGCCCCUCCCAUACCCUUGUGUCACAACAUGCCCCUCACACACCCUUGUGUCACAACACGCCCCUCCCUCACCCGUGUCACGCUGAGCCCCUCCCACACCCUUGUGUCAGAACACGCCCCUCCCACACCCCUGUGUUACAUGCCUCUCCCUCACCCAUGGGUCACACUGAGCCCCUCCCACACCCCUGUGUCAGAACACGCCCCUCCCUCCCUCAUGUGUCACCCUGAACCCCUCCCACACCCCUGUCACAAUACGCCCCUCCCUCACUCGUGUGUCACACUCAACCCCUCCCACACCCUUGUGUCACACUGAGCCCCUCCCCUCAUCACGGAUCAUAUGGAUUCCCUCUCCCGCUGUGUCAUACAGAGCCCCUCACUAACUCAUGUGUCACACUGAGUCCCUCCCACACCCCUGUCACAACGCGCCCCUCCCUCACCCAUGUGUCACGUUGAUCUCCUUCUCUAUUCACGUAUCGUAUGGAGUCCCUUUCUUACUCAAGUAUCAUACAGAGCCCCUCCCUCCCUCAUGUGUCACACUGAGCCCCUCCCCUCCUCAUGUGUCACAUGGAGUCCCUCUCCCACUCAUGUCACACUGAGUCCCUGCCUCACUCAUGUGCUGCACUUAUUACCCCUGACUCGUGUCACAUAGAGCCUCUCCUCAACCCAUUUGUCACACUAAACCCUGUACCCGUGUGUCACACUGAGUCCCUCCUUACUCAUUUGUUAUAUGGAGCCCCUCCCCCACUCAUGUGUUACAUGUAGCCCCUCCCCACCCUUGUGACACAUGGAGCCAUCUCCACUCACGUGUCACAUGGAGGCCCUCCCCUACAUAUGUUGCAUGGAGCUCCUCUCUUACCCAUGUGUCACAUGCAGCUCCUCAUCCACCCAUGUGUCACGUGGAGCCCUCCCCCAACACAUGUUACAUGGAGGGCCUCCCCAAUGUGUAUUGCAUGGAGCCACUCCGUUACCCUUGUGUCAUAUGGAGUCCUUUCCCCACCCAUGUGUCACAUGGAGCCCUCCUCACUCACGUGUCACGUGGAGGCUCUUCCUUAAGUGUGUCGCAUGGAGCCACUCCAAUGCCUGUGUGUCACAUGGAGCCAUUCUCUACCGUGUGUCACAUGGAGCCCCUCCCCCAGCCAUGUGUCACAUGGAACCCCUUCCCCACCACGUGUCACAUGGAGCCCUUCGCCCCACCACGUGUCACAUGGAGCCCCUUCCCCACCACGUGUCACAUGAAGCCCCUUCCCCACCACGUGUCACAUGGAGCCCCUCCCCCACCACGUGUCACAUGGAGCCCCUUCCCCACCACGUGUCACAUGGAGCCCUUCACCCCCUCCCUCGCCUUCCCCCCUCCUGUCCCCAGUUCUCCUUAGGGCCAGAACUCCGCACCCUGGAGCUUUUCUUCCAUGUGCUGUUUAGGGGAUCUUCUGUCAUUAAGUCAUUAAUUCAGCAAUAACGGUGUUAUUGAACACCUACCGUGUGCCAGGCCGUGCAUCUGUGGGAGAGUGUGUUGAUGGUGCUGGUGGCUGCUGAGUCUGUGGCGAGGCCUGCAGCAGGGGAAGGCGGGCACGGUGGUCAAGAAAGAUGGGCAGGGACCAGGGAAGCUCUUUAUUUUUUAAAAACAACUUUAUUGGAUAUCUGCAUGCACGCAGUCCAGCCCCUGAAGUGCACAUGUCCGUGGUUUCAGUUUAUUCACAGAUACAGGCAACCAUCAGCAAUUCGGUUUUGGAGUCGUUCUGUCAUUUAUCCUGUAGCCUUUACCUGUCACCCCAUCUCCCCCUCCCCCAUCCUCCGACCCUGAGUAACCCCUGGCUGCUUUUUGUCUCAGGGAAACUAACCUCCUCUUGGGCUCAGUGACACCUCACUAGCUUCCCAGAGGUGUCCUGACACAGACGGUGAGGCAGGAAAAGUGGCCGGGAGUAGAAAGCUGCAGAGGGGGGAAAUCCGAGCCCCUGAUGCCCACUCACAGCUCCUGUGCCAGCUCAGGUCUGCUGCCCCUGGGGUCCCCAGGCUCCAUGCCCUAGCCUGUCUCCACAGCCUCCUGAGGCCUCCCUGUGGAGCCCAGCUAAGGGAGACCCAGGCCCUGGCCAGAGGAGGCAGCGGCAGGCCGCGGUCGGGCGAGGCACGCAGGCACCACCGUGCUGCAGGUCCCCAGCGGCGGGCAGUGCCGCCUGGGCUGGCUGUCCCUUACCGUCACUGCUGUCACCACGAGCAGCUGCUAGUGGCAGGUCCCACCUGCCGUCCGGGGUGCACACAAUGCUUCCGGGAGGAGGGUCGCGGCCGUAGUCAGUAGGUGGGGGGUGAGAACGGCUUCAUACAGGAGCUGAUGCGCAGUUACCCAGCUCCUAUGAGAUGCCUUUCCUCACCCCUUCACCUCGCGCAGCCCCCGGGCCCUCCUCGGCACCCCCGGCUGCACAGGGGUGCGUCUUCGAGCUUGCUGCUGCCCCGCCUCCACCUGGCGAGCUCCUCUCUCUCUCUCUCUUCUGCAGCUCCCCAGCUCCUGGAGGUGAGGGCCGGAGCCCCCGGGCCGUCUCUGAGGCCCCCCUCUCAGAGGGAAGGCUGGGUCCCCUGUGGGAUACUCCCCAGGGCUGGGCACUUGGUGGCCAUGAGCAGACAGGCCAGAGAUGGAGAUAGGGCCGGCCCUGGGGCUUUUGCCUGCUGUUGAUGGGGCUGCGGCUGUGCUCCCAUAGGCAGCCCUCUGAGGGGACCCAGCUCCCAGGACACAUGGGCAGGCUUUGCAGGGACGUGCCCUUUGUUCCCAGGACUGGGGGGCGCGGCUUGGACAGAGCAGGCUGACCCUUCCCACUGCCACAGGAGGAGGGUCUCCUUGAGGGGCCUUAGCCUCUACCCAGGAUUCUUUCAUGACCAGGAGGCUGAGGCCCCUCACAGGCGGCUGCUUACUCUCUCCCUAAACCGGGUCUGGAGACACUCCCAGCUUCCCAUGGAUUCCCGACUCUGGGUCCGGCCUCCCUGAGCCAGAGGCUGUCAGCAGGUGCCCCCUUCUUCCCCUUGUCCUGCCCUGCCCAGGCUGGGUGCCUGAGGGCACUAGACCAGUGUCCCCCUGUGCCAUGGCCCUCGUCUUUUGUGUCCCCCACUAACUCAGGUCCUGUGCAUGGUGGGAGGUGACCUGUGCCAAGCCCCUGUGCUACUGGAAUCAUUAACCCAUUGACCAGCCAUGGCAGCCAGCCCAGGCACACGCAUGGGGUGGCAGCGUAGGGGGAGGCCUUGCCCACAGCGUGAUGCCCUUAGAGUGGGACAGGAGGGGCUGGAUUUCCGUCUCCCUUCCCCUGCCUCCUAACUCUUGACCCCUUCUUUACCCCCCAUCCCCCACCCCGGUCCUGCACCUCCCCCCUCUGCCCAUCUUCAUACCUUUUAUCCUUCACAGCAUCAGGAGGUCCUUGUUGUUCAGGAAGGCCUUUCUGACCAGGGAAUAGCUUGAACAAAGGCAGGGGGACUUCAGGAGUGGUGGGAGUAUGUUGUGUGUGCCCUUGUUGGGUCAAGUGGGUCAGAACAAGACAUGACACAGGGAAGACUGAGGUCCUGGGAGGCCUCAGUGUCAGCCAAAGGAAGGCCUUUCACCUACUCAGGAAUGCCCUUGGGGAUAUAUAAGAGCUCCGAGGGGUGGACAGUAUGUGACACACGGUUGGCGGUGGUUCUCCAGCCUCCCGGGCACCAGGGCCCUGAAUCUCCAUGUUUGACAAGCUCCCCAGUGACUGCCCAGGGCCGCGCUUUGAGAAGCGCCUGUAGGAAGUGGUCGGAACACGGCGCUGCCGUCUCCGUGCUCCUGCCUCCACUAACCUGCUGGCCCGCCACCGCCGAGGCCGGCCACACUUGCUCUGUCCUCUUUUCUGGGGCUGCUCUUCUUUACCCUUGGGCUUUGGCUGCCUGGGUAGCUGUUGAAAUCUUAGGUUGAAGGCGUUUCAGAAAUGUAUCCUCUGUUGUGGAAGACCCUGCGUAGGGGCCAGGAUGAGGGUCCCAGUUAGGGCCCAGAGCACCUCUUAGUGGUGCCCAUCGGCCCGGCAGCAGGGCCUGGGUGUGGGGGGCAGGGUGUGGGGGGUGUGGGAAUGGCGCCCCGGUGGGCGAGGAGGAGACUUCAGGUUUCUGCUAGCCUAGCUCCCCCCACACCCCCUAGCACAGGGUGGGGCAGCACGGCGGGGGGCUGCAUCAGAGGCCCCUAAUUGGACCUGCGGCCGCCAGCGGGAGGGAUGGACACACCUGGACCUGAGUGGUGAGUAGCCGUCAGCUGCCUGGGAGUGUUGCAUGGCCCAGAGACAGGCCCAGCGUGCUCCAGGCCUGCGGGCUGGAGCGCUAGGGGCAUCUGUGG
rnacentral:lncRNA from 1 species